GAUGAACGCUGGCGGCGUGCCUAAUACAUGCAAGUCGAGCGAACAGACGAGGAGCUUGCUCCUCUGACGUUAGCGGCGGACGGGUGAGUAACACGUGGAUAACCUACCUAUAAGACUGGGAUAACUUCGGGAAGCCGGAGCUAAUACCGGAUAAUAUAUUUAACCGCAUGGUUCAAUAGUGAAAGACGGUUUUGCUGUCACUUAUAGAUGGAUCCGCGCCGCAUUAGCUAGUUGGUAAGGUAACGGCUUACCAAGGCGACGAUGCGUAGCCGACCUGAGAGGGUGAUCGGCCACACUGGAACUGAGACACGGUCCAGACUCCUACGGGAGGCAGCAGUAGGGAAUCUUCCGCAAUGGGCGAAAGCCUGACGGAGCAACGCCGCGUGAGUGAUGAAGGUCUUCGGAUCGUAAAACUCUGUUAUUAGGGAAGAACAAAUGUGUAAGUAACUAUGCACGUCUUGACGGUACCUAAUCAGAAAGCCACGGCUAACUACGUG
rnacentral:rRNA from 1 species